rnacentral:rRNA from 1 species
GUGGGGAAAAUUGGACAAUGGGCGAAAGCCUGAUCCAGCCAUGCCGCGUGUGUGAAGAAGGUCUUCGGAUUGUAAAGCACUUUAAGUUGGGAGGAAGGGCAGUAAGUUAAUACCUUGCUGUUUUGACGUUACCGACAGAAUAAGCACCGGCUAACUUCGUGCCAGCAGCCGCGGUAAUACGAAGGGUGCAAGCGUUAAUCGGAAUUACUGGGCGUAAAGCGCGCGUAGGUGGUUUUGUAAGUUGGAGGUGAAAUCCCCGGGCUCAACCUGGGAACUGCCUUCAAAACUGCAUGACUAGAGUACGGUAGAGGGUAGUGGAAUUUCCUGUGUAGCGGUGAAAUGCGUAGAUAUAGGAAGGAACACCAGUGGCGAAGGCGACUACCUGGACUGAUACUGACACUGAGGUGCGAAAGCGUGGGGAGCAAACAGGAUUAGAUACCCGUGUAGUCC